CCUACGGGGGGCAGCAGUGGGGAAUAUUGGGCAAUGGGCGCAAGCCUGACCCAGCAACGCCGCGUGAAGGAAGAAGGCUUUCGGGUUGUAAACUUCUUUUCUGAGGGACGAAGAAAGUGACGGUACCUCAGGAAUAAGCCACGGCUAACUACGUGCCAGCAGCCGCGGUAAUACGUAGGUGGCAAGCGUUAUCCGGAUUUAUUGGGUGUAAAGGGGGUGUAGGCGGGAAAGCAAGUCAGAUGUGAAAACCAUGGGCUCAACCUGUGGCCUGCAUUUGAAACUGUUUUUCUUGAGUACUGGAGAGGCAGACGGAAUUCCUAGUGUAGCGGUGAAAUGCGUAGAUAUUAGGAGGAACACCAGUGGCGAAGGCGGUCUGCUGGACAGCAACUGACGCUGAGGCGCGAAAGCGUGGGGAGCAAACAGGAUUAGAUACCCUGGUAGUC
rnacentral:rRNA from 1 species